UUAUCAAGAAACUGCCUUGUCAUUCACUUUGGUCACUGCUUUGGAAUGUCCCUCGGGGUCCUGCCAGUUUUCGUUGCUUAGGACAGAGAAGCUUCCAGAAAGGCUCCUGUUUAUGUUUUCACAAACUAGAAAUGCUUUUUGUGGUUUAAUGUAACUGAAAAGAAACUCUGGUGUGCUUUGAUUGCGCUUAUAAAAAAGGGAACUGGAGAAUUCAGGAAGUAACCUUGUUAAAGCGGCUGGGAUGGUAAUACAGGUUUAGGGCUGGGGAGGUGGCUCACAGGGUAAAACACUUGCCACGAGUGCGUGAGGGCAUGAGUUCUAACCCCCAGGACCCAUAUAAGAGCUGGACACUGGCAUGUGUUUGCAGUCUUAGUGUUCCUACAGUGAGGGCCAGCUAAUCUGCAGAGGCCAAUGACCAAGAGAGCCUGCAUCAAAGUGGGAGGAAGGCAAGGACUGACAGCCAAGCUGUCCCCUGACCUCUACAUAAGUACCGUGGUACGUGCACACCUGAACUCAUACAUCCUCAUCAUGCACACAGUGCAGGAGGGAGGGGUGAAGAGAGAAGAACAGACAGAGAUAGACAGACAUAGAGACAGAGAGGGAGCGAGAAAUCCGUGCAAGCAUUGAGGCGUUUGCUUGAGGUGCUGAGAGUGGAACUCGGGACCUCGUGCGUGCUCUGAAGAUGAUCUCCCCUGAGCUGGACCCACAGUCCCCGAUAUUAGUUAUCAGUUAUGAUUGUCACUGAGUCUUCCUGAAGCACCAGAGAGGGGGAACUGGGAGCCUGUAUAUUUAGGCUACUGUAAGUCUACUUUGCCUUUGAGAAAGAAGGGGAAAAAUCAAAAUUAGUGAACUAUAAUUGUUUUCUGUACAAGAAA
rnacentral:lncRNA from 1 species